rnacentral:rRNA from 1 species
AUUGAACGCUGGCGGCAGGCCUAACACAUGCAAGUCGAACGGUAACAGGAAGAAGCUUGCUUCUUUGCUGACGAGUGGCGGACGGGUGAGUAAUGUCUGGGAAACUGCCUGAUGGAGGGGGAUAACUACUGGAAACGGUAGCUAAUACCGCAUAACGUCGCAAGACCAAAGAGGGGGACCUUCGGGCCUCUUGCCAUCGGAUGUGCCCAGAUGGGAUUAGCUAGUAGGUGGGGUAACGGCUCACCUAGGCGACGAUCCCUAGCUGGUCUGAGAGGAUGACCAGCCACACUGGAACUGAGACACGGUCCAGACUCCUACGGGAGGCAGCAGUGGGGAAUAUUGCACAAUGGGCGCAAGCCUGAUGCAGCCAUGCCGCGUGUAUGAAGAAGGCCUUCGGGUUGUAAAGAACUUUCAGCGGGGAGGAAGGGAGUAAAGUUAAUACCUUUACUCAUUGACGUUACCCGCAGAAGAAGCACCGGCUAACUCCGUG